rnacentral:rRNA from 1 species
CCUACGGGAGGCAGCAGUGAGGAAUAUUGGACAAUGGGCGCAAGCCUGAUCCAGCCAUGCCGCGUGCAGGAUGACGGUCCUAUGGAUUGUAAACUGCUUUUGUACAGGAAGAAACAGUUCUACGUGUAGAACCUUGACGGUACUGUAAGAAUAAGGAUCGGCUAACUCCGUGCCAGCAGCCGCGGUAAUACGGAGGAUCCAAGCGUUAUCCGGAAUCAUUGGGUUUAAAGGGUCCGUAGGCGGUUUAGUAAGUCAGUGGUGAAAGCCCAUCGCUCAACGGUGGAACGGCCAUUGAUACUGCUAAACUUGAAUUAUUAGGAAGUAACUAGAAUAUGUAGUGUAGCGGUGAAAUGCUUAGAGAUUACAUGGAAUACCAAUUGCGAAGGCAGGUUACUACUAAUGGAUUGACGCUGAUGGACGAAAGCGUGGGUAGCGAACAGGAUUAGAUACCCUGGUAGUCCACGCCGUAAACGAUGGAUACUAGCUGUUGGAAGCAAUUUCAGUGGCUAAGCGAAAGUGAUAAGUAUCCCACCUGGGGAGUACGUUCGCAAGAAUGAAACUCAAAUGAAUUGACGG